rfam:Prevotella micans F0438 genomic scaffold supercont1.3, whole genome shotgun sequence.
GCCAAGGCUUUUAUUAAAGCCAUUAAGAAAUAUGAUAAGGAGAAAU